rnacentral:rRNA from 1 species
AUACGGAGGGUGCAAGCGUUAUCCGGAAUCAUUGGGUUUAAAGGGCCCGUAGGCGGGUUUGUAAGUCAGUGGUGAAAGUUUUCGGCUCAACCGGAAAAUUGCCAUUGAUACUGCAAGUCUUGAAUCAUUAUGAAGUGGUUAGAAUGUGUAGUGUAGCGGUGAAAUGCAUAGAUAUUACACAGAAUACCGAUUGCGAAGGCAGAUCACUAAUAAUGUAUUGACGCUAAGGGACGAAAGCGUGGGUAGCGAACAGGAUUAGAAACCCGAGUAGUCC